CAGGCCAAAUCAUGGCUGACAACGACAGCAAGAAGAUCGAUCUACCAGACGGGCUAUGCGUUGAAAUAUCUCCUGACGGUUGUACAUACCACGAUGGUCUUUGCUUCCAUUGUUUGGUAACUGACGUCUACUACCCCACUAUGGAUGACUGCAAGAGCAAUUGCAACAAAUCCUCGUCUUUACAAGACGUGCUAGUUGCCAUGACAACCUCCCCUCCUCCUCCUUUAUCUGCUCCUUAAUUUUCCGGCCUAGACAAUGGUUAUAUGUACAAGAUUGUCCCCUGAAAAUAAUGCCUAUGUGCGGAAACCAGUUAUGCAAUGCGAGUAAUAUACUGCAGCAGUUGUUGCUGAGUAUUUUGGUUUGGCAAAUCACAUUUGAACCUUUACUAGGAAUUGUUGGGAGAGCGAUGAAAUGACUCGCAAGCGCAGAUGCUCCGGAAAUCUGAGUGGUACAGCUUAGCUUGGGAUCUGUGUCGGUUAAAUCUGUGUCACAUAUACGUUUUAGAAUACAGAGGUGAAUACAUCUGCAGAUGGGCUAUACUGGACCAUAGUACUAACUCCUCGCAAAGUCGCAAGUCUCCUCUGUUCAAGUCCAUCGAUGUCCCAUGCAAAAUAAAAUGAAAUAAGUCCAUCGAUCUCUCACUUAAAAAGAGUCCUAUGGCUAUGGAUGACCAGGGAGGCCGCCCUUGGCCAAUAUCCGGCGCCGGUGAGUUCGUCUACCCUGUCAUGGUGGGUUUCUCAUCUAUCCUACCUCUCAUGAGGCGUCCGGUUCUUGUCUUUCCCAAGCUCACAUUAAUAUUCCCAAAUCAGCCCUCGGCCGGCCUUGGCGACAUCAUCUUCAUCCACUCCCGUGCUGCACACACCCAUUUCUCUGAUCUCUUAAAGCAACUCUAGCCGAGCCCAUAAAAGAUACAGGAGUAUUUGGCCGGGUAAACCUUAAUGGAGUAAAUUUAGUCCACUAAGUUUUGGUCGGUUCUAGCUGAUCCCCUAAAUUUAGCGGAGUAAAAUAAAAUUUGGUUAAGAUGAACAUAGAUUCGAUCUAAACAAACUUCUAAACCGAAAUUCGACACGUAAUUUACAUUAUCAUCCGUCGAAACAUAGUUCAAAGUGAUACUAAAACUUGAACUCAAACAUAAGCUAAAAUCUAAAUCUAACCAAAAAAAUUAGUCGCUAUUCGACUUUGCGAGGGAGAGCAAGUCCUCCCUAGAGAUUCCACCGCCCAUGGGGUCAGUCCCUAGGUCGUCUUCGUUGUAUCCAGGAAGGUCCUUCACCACUCCUCGAUGUUGAAGCUGUCAUCGUUGCCGCCUCCACUGCCACCAUUGUUGCCGCCUCCACCGAGCCAGCUCGUCAUCGACCAGCGCCCACGUGCAUCUAGGGAUCAUACAUUCAACAGGGGGUGACUCCAUGAGUCAGGUGAUCCACAAAAACCGCAUGAGCUAGAGUCCGCCAUAUGGCUGUGUGCCCAAUAUCAUUUGUUGCUAAAGAAUGUAUGGAUAGAUGCCAAAGGAACAGCCUCACGUUUCCCGGCACCAGAACUUUCCAUAAACUUUUCCAUGAGCCCUCUUCAGCAGCCGAGGUGGAGGAACCAUCCCUUUGAUCUAAGCAUGACUAUUGGAGAACUAAUUACAAUUAUGAAAUAUACAAAUAUAGACAUAGGAGAUAAGUCCAACCAAAUUUGGGAACUUGUCUAAAAAGGGAGAAAAUUAGUCUGACUUGAUUUUGCUUUUAAUGAGGGUUCAUAAUAUAGGAUGAUAUUAAAUAAUCCAAUUUUAUUGCUUGAUGGUUUACACGGGAUAAGGAUGACCGGUUCUCUCUUCUCUCAAUAUAUACGAUCGACUCAUGUGCUCAUUGGUAACCAAACAUUUCUCAUCGACAACCAAAGUGACCUGAGUGCCUGCGUAGCUAGUGUUGUAUCUGGUUGGCCAUGGACAAGUACACGAUUCGCAUCCUUGCACUAGGAGCCCUAGUGUGUCUACAUCUCGUAUGCUCUGCUACUGUUGCUCAAUGUAAGGCAGCUAGCAUACCAAUAUUUAUGUAUCUUCACAAUGCUUAAUUUUUCUUCACUUGUCCUGGCUGGAAGUAUGUACCUAGUAUAGCUAUCAAAGGCCUUUCUAUUUUGCUUUGUAACUGGUUCCAUCGUUUAUAUGCAUAUAUAUACAUACACACUACUCUAAAAUAAUUGCAUAACGAUGGUUGUUCGUUUGUUAUUACUCCAUAAUAUACAGGCCAAAUCAUGGCUGACACCGACAGCAAGAAGAUCGAUCUACCAGACGGGCUAUGCGUUGAAAUAUCUCCUGACGGUUGUACAUACCACGAUGGUCUUUGCUUCCAUUGUUUGGUAACUGACGUCUACUACCCCACUAUGGAUGACUGCAAGAGCAAUUGCAACAAAUCCUCGUCUUUACAAGACGUGCUAGUUGCCAUGACAACCUCCCCUCCUCCUCCUUUAUCUGCUCCUUAAUUUUCCGGCCUAGACAAUGGUUAUAUGUACAAGAUUGUCCCCUGAAAAUAAUGCCUAUGUGCGGAAACCAGUUAUGCAAUGCGAGUAAUAUACUGCAGCAGUUGUUGCUGAGUAUUUUGGUUUGGCAAAUCACAUUUGAACCUUUACUAGGAAUUGUUGGGAGAGCGAUGAAAUGACUCGCAAGCGCAGAUGCUCCGGAAAUCCGAGUGGUACAGCUUAGCUUGGGAUCUGUGUCGGUUAAAUCUGUGUCACAUAUACGUUUUAGAAUACAGAGGUGAAUACAUCUGCAGAUGGGCUAUACUGGACCAUAGUACUAACUCCUCGCAAAGUCGCAAGUCUCCUCUCUUCAAGUCCAUCGAUGUCCCAUGCAAAAUAAAAUGAAAUAAGUCCAUCGAUCUCUCACUUAAAAAGAGUCCUAUGGCUAUGGAUGACCAGGGAGGCCGCCCUUGGCCAAUAUCCGGCGCCGGUGAGUUCGUCUACCCUGUCAUGGUGGGUUUCUCAUCUAUCCUACCUCUCAUGAGGCGUCCGGUUCUUGUCUUUCCCAAGCUCACAUUAAUAUUCCCAAAUCAGCCCUCGGCCGGCCUUGGCGACAUCAUCUUCAUCCACUCCCGUGCUGCACACACCCAUUUCUCUGAUCUCUUAAAGCAACUCUAGCCGAGCCCAUAAAAGAUACAGGAGUAUUUGGCCGGGUAAACCUUAAUGGAGUAAAUUUAGUCCACUAAGUUUUGGUCGGUUCUAGCUGAUCCCCUAAAUUUAGCGGAGUAAAAUAAAAUUUGGUUAAGAUGAACAUAGAUUCGAUCUAAAUAAACUUCUAAACCGAAAUUCGACACGUAAUUUACAUUAUCAUCCGUCGAAACAUAGUUCAAAGUGAUACUAAAACUUGAACUCAAACAUAAGCUAAAAUCUAAAUCUAACCAAAAAAAUUAGUCGCUAUUCGACUUUGCGAGGGAGAGCAAGUCCUCCCUAGAGAUUCCACCGCCCAUGGGGUCAGUCCCUAGGUCGUCUUCGUUGUAUCCAGGAAGGUCCUUCACCACUCCUCGAUGUUGAAGCUGUCAUCGUUGCCGCCUCCACUGCCACCAUUGUUGCCGCCUCCACCGAGCCAGCUCGUCAUCGACCAGCGCCCACGUGCAUCUAGGGAUCAUACAUUCAACAGGGGGUGACUCCAUGAGUCAGGUGAUCCACAAAAACCGCAUGACCUAGAGUCCGCCAUAUGGCUGUGUGCCCCAACAUCAUUUGUUGGUAAAGAAUGUAUGGAUAGAUGCCAAAGGAACAGCCUCACGUUUCCCGGCACCAGAACUUUCCAUAAACUUUUCCAUGAGCCCUCUUCAGCAGCCGAGGUGGAGGAACCAUCCCUUUGAUCUAAGCAUGACUAUUGGAGAAUUAAUUACAAUUCUGAAAUAUACAAAUAUAGACAUAGGAGAUAAGUCCAACCAAAUUUGGGAACUUGUCUAAAAAGGGAGAAAAUUAGUCUGACUUGAUUUGUGCUUUUAAUGAGGGUUCAUAAUAUAGGAUGAUAUUAAAUAAAUCCAAUUUUAUUGCUUGAUGGUUUACACGGGAUAAGGAUGACCGGUUCUCUCUUCUCUCAAUAUAUACGAUCGACUCAUGUGCUCAUUGGUAACCAAACAUUUCUCAUCGACAACCAAAGUGACCUGAGAGCUUGCGUAGCUACUGUUGUAUCUGGUUGGCCAUGGACAAGUACACGAUUCGCAUCCUUGCACUAGGAGCCCUAGUGUGUCUACAUCUCGUAUGCUCUGCUACUGUUGCUCAAUGUAAGGCAGCUAGCACACCCAUAUUUAUGUAUCUUCACAAUGCUUAAUUUUUCUUCACUUGUCCUGGCUGGAAGUAUGUACCUAGUAUAGCUAUCAAAGGCCUUUCUAUUUUGCUUCGUAACUGGUUCCAUCGUUUAUAUGCAUAUAUAUACAUACACACUACUCUAAAAUAAUUGCAUAACGAUGGUUGUUCGUUUGUUAUUAUUCCAUAAUAUACAGGCCAAAUCAUGGCUGACACCGACAGCAAGAAGAUCGAUCUACCAGACGGGCUAUGCGUUGAAAUAUCUCCUGACGGUUGUACAUACCACGAUGGUCUUUGCUUCCAUUGUUUGGUAACUGACGUCUACUACCCCACUAUGGAUGACUGCAAGAGCAAUUGCAACAAAUCCUCGUCUUUACAAGACGUGCUAGUUGCCAUGACAACCUCCCCUCCUCCUCCUUUAUCUGCUCCUUAAUUUUCCGGCCUAGACAAUGGUUAUAUGUACAAGAUUGUCCCCUGAAAAUAAUGCCUAUGUGCGGAAACCAGUUAUGCAAUGCGAGUAAUAUACUGCAGCAGUUGUUGCUGAGUAUUUUGGUUUGGCAAAUCACAUUUGAACCUUUACUAGGAAUUGUUGGGAGAGCGAUGAAAUGACUCGCAAGCGCAGAUGCUCCGGAAAUCCGAGUGGUACAGCUUAGCUUGGGAUCUGUGUCGGUUAAAUCUGUGUCACAUAUACGUUUUAGAAUACAGAGGUGAAUACAUCUGCAGAUGGGCUAUACUGGACCAUAGUACUAACUCCUCGCAAAGUCGCAAGUCUCCUCUCUUCAAGUCCAUCGAUGUCCCAUGCAAAAUAAAAUGAAAUAAGUCCAUCGAUCUCUCACUUAAAAAGAGUCCUAUGGCUGUGGAUGACCAGGGAGGCCGCCCUUGGCCAAUAUCCGGCACCGGUGAGUUCGUAUACCCUGUCAUGGUGGGUUUCUCAUCUAUCCUACCUCUCAUGAGGCGUCCGGUUCUUGUCUUUCCCAAGCUCACAUUAAUAUUCCCAAAUCAGCCAUCGGCCGGCCUUGGCGACAUCAUCUUCAUCCACUCCCGUGCUGCACACACCCAUUUCUCUGAUCUCUUAAAGCAACUCUAGCCGAGCCCAUAAAAGAUACAGGAGUAUUUGGCCGGGUAAACCUUAAUGGAGUAAAUUUAGUCCACUAAGUUUUGGUCGGUUCUAGCUGAUCCCCUAAAUUUAGCGGAGUAAAAUAAAAUUUGGUUAAGAUGAACAUAGAUUCGAUCUAAACAAACUUCUAAACUGAAAUUCGACACGUAAUUUACAUUAUCAUCCGUCGAAACAUAGUUCAAAGCGAUACUAAAACUUGAACUCAAACAUAAGCUAAAAUCUAAAUCUAACCAAAAAAAUUAGUCGCUAUUCGACUUUGCGAGGGAGAGCAAGUCCUCCCUAGAGAUUCCACCGCCCAUGGGGUCAGUCCCUAGGUCGUCUUUGUUGUAUCCAGGAAGGUCCUUCACCACUUAUCGAUGUUGAAGCUGUCAUCGUUGCCGCCUCCACUGCCACCAUUGUUGCCGCCUCCACCGAGCCAGCUCGUCAUCGACCAGCGCCCACGUGCAUCUAGGGAUCAUACAUUCAACAGGGGGUGACUCCAUGAGUCAGGUGAUCCACAAAAACCGCAUGAGCUAGAGUCCACCAUAUGGCUGUGUGCCCAAUAUCAUUUGUUGCUAAAGAAUGUAUGGAUAGAUGCCAAAGGAACAGCCUCACGUUUCCCGGCACUAGAACUUUCCAUAAACUUUUCCAUGAGCCCUCUUCAGCAGCCGAGGUGGAGGAACCAUCCCUUUGAUCUAAGCAUGACUAUUGGAGAAUUAAUUACAAUUAUGAAAUAUACAAAUAUAGACAUAGGAGAUAAGUCCAACCAAAUUUGGGAACUUGUCUAAAAAGGGAGAAAAUUAGUCUGACUUGAUUUGUGCUUUUAAUGAGGGUUCAUAUUAUAGGAUGAUAUUAAAUAAAUCCAAUUUUAUUGCUUGAUGGUUUACACGGGAUAAGGAUGACCAGUUCUCUCUUCUCUCAAUAUAUACGAUCGAUUCAUGUGCUCAUUGGUAACCAAACAUUUCUCAUCGACAACCAAAGUGACCUGAGAGCUUGCGUAGCUAGUGUUGUAUCUGGUUGGCCAUGGACAAGUACACGAUUCGCAUCCUUGCACUAGGAGCCCUAGUGUGUCUACAUCUCGUAUGCUCUGCUACUGUUGCUCAAUGUAAGGCAGCUAGCACACCGAUAUUUAUGUAUCUUCACAAUGCUUAAUUUUUCUUCACUUGUCCUGGCUGGAAGUAUGUACCUAGUAUAGCUAUCAAAGGCCUUUCUAUUUUGCUUUGUAACUGGUUCCAUCGUUUAUAUGCAUAUAUAUACAUACACACUACUCUAAAAUAAUUGCAUAACGAUGGUUGUUCGUUUGUUAUUAUUCCAUAAUAUAUAGGCCAAAUCAUGGCUGACACCGAUAGCAAGAAGAUCGAUCUACCAGACGGGCUAUGCGUUAAAAUAUCUCCUGAUGGUUGUACAUACCACGAUGGUCUUUGCUUCCAUUGUUUGGUAACUGACGUCUACUACCACACUAUGGAUGACUGCAAGAGCAAUUGUAACAAAUCCUCGUCUUUACAAGACGUGCUAGUUGCCAUGACAACCUCCCCUCCUCCUCCUUUAUCUGCUCCUUAAUUUUCCGGCCUAGACAAUGGUUAUAUGUACAAGAUUGUCCCCUGAAAAUAAUGCGUAUGUGCGGAAACCAGUUAUGCAAUGCGAGUAAUAUACUGCAGCAGUUGUUGCUGAGUAUUUUGGUUUGGCAGAUCACAUUUGAACCUUUACUAGCAAUUGUUGGGAGAGCGAUGAAAUGACUCGCAAGCGCAGAUGCUCCGGAAAUCUGAGUGGUACAACUUAGCUUGGGAUCUGUGUCAGUUAACUCUUUGUCACAUAUACGUUUUAGAAUACAGAGGUGAAUACAUUUGCAGAUGGGCCAUACUGGACCAUAGUACUCAGUACUCGCAAAGUCACAAGUCUCCUCUCUUCAAGUCCAUCGAUGUCCCAUGCAAAAUAAAAUGAAAUAAGUUCAUCGAUCUCUCGCUUAAAAAGAGUCCUAUGGCUGUGGAUGACCAAGGAGGCCGCCCUUGGCCAAUAUCCGGCACCAGUGAGUUCUUCUACCCUGUCAUGGUGGGUUUCGCAU
rnacentral:lncRNA from 1 species